AAAUGUCAUUUCGGACCAUUAUUCUCUUGCAAGAGAGCAAUUAAAUGUGAGUGAAACUCGGGUUAGGUGGUACAUACAGUGCGGAAAUUGCUUGCAGUCGCCAUCGAUGUUCCCAAAAGCUGAGAAAAUGCGAAAGGAUGCAGAACUUCAGUGUCAAUACUCAAUACACAGAUUGUAACAGCUAUAAUCUACAGUUCAUUGUGGGAGACCCUCAGAAGAUAAACAACUUGUCGUCAACAUUAAAUCUACAAUUAAUACAUGAAAGGAUUUUGAAGGUGUUCAAUGCUGAAAAAUCAAAGAACUACGUGUAUUUGUGUGUGCUGAUUGGU